UGGAAAGAAGGGUUUCUCCAUGCAACUAUGCUUGAUUUUUCCAAUUAUCAUAUGUUUUGUUCUCAAUCCAUGUUCUUUGAAAUUAUAUGCUACUACUCAAAACACUCACUGUGUAGACAGAGCGAAGGAUGGAAUAGAUGGUGACUGAAACUUAUUAAUCAAAUUGAUGACAAACAAUUAUCAAAUAAAUCUAUGAGUGGUCAAAGGUGAAUCUGUGAGAGUGGUUAAAGGUGGAGCUCCAGAAGACAAAUGAGACAUUACAAAGGAAAAGGAUGGGAGUUGGCCCUUUUGCAAAUUUAGAGCCCAUUAGAGAAGAUUCACCAAUUUUGCAUUUAUUUCAAUGUAAUUAAGCUAAAACAGAUUCAUAACUUAUGAGUAGCUUUAACAUUGAAAGCAAGAUUUAGGAUCGAGUCAUUUCUUUGGAUAGCAGCUUUAAUAGAAAUUACUUACAGGAUUUUGAAAA